rnacentral:rRNA from 1 species
GUGGGGAAUAUUGGACAAUGGGGGGAACCCUGAUCCAGCCAUGCCGCGUGUGUGAAGAAGGCCUUUUGGUUGUAAAGCACUUUAAGCGAGGAGGAGGCUACCGAGAUUAAUACUCUUGGAUAGUGGACGUUACUCGCAGAAUAAGCACCGGCUAACUCUGUGCCAGCAGCCGCGGUAAUACAGAGGGUGCAAGCGUUAAUCGGAUUUACUGGGCGUAAAGCGCGCGUAGGUGGCCAAUUAAGUCAAAUGUGAAAUCCCCGAGCUUAACUUGGGAAUUGCAUUCGAUACUGGUUGGCUAGAGUAUGGGAGAGGAUGGUAGAAUUCCAGGUGUAGCGGUGAAAUGCGUAGAGAUCUGGAGGAAUACCGAUGGCGAAGGCAGCCAUCUGGCCUAAUACUGACACUGAGGUGCGAAAGCAUGGGGAGCAAACAGGAUUAGAUACCACGGUAGUCC